rnacentral:rRNA from 1 species
GACGAACGCUGGCGGCGUGCUUAACACAUGCAAGUCGAACGGAAAGGCCCUGCUUGCAGGGUACUCGAGUGGCGAACGGGUGAGUAACACGUGGGUGAUCUGCCCUGCACUUCGGGAUAAGCUUGGGAAACUGGGUCUAAUACCGGAUAGGAGCCAUCUUUAGUGUGGUGGUUGGAAAGUUUUUUCGGUGUAGGAUGAGCUCGCGGCCUAUCAGCUUGUUGGUGGGGUAAUGGCCUACCAAGGCGGCGACGGGUAGCCGGCCUGAGAGGGUGUACGGCCACAUUGGGACUGAGAUACGGCCCAGACUCCUACGGGAGGCAGCAGUGGGGAAUAUUGCACAAUGGGCGCAAGCCUGAUGCAGCGACGCCGCGUGGGGAUGAAGGCCUUCGGGUUGUAAACUCCUUUCGCUAGGGACGAAGCUUUGUUGUGACGGUACCUAGAUAAGAAGCACCGGCUAACUACGUG